UUUGCUGUCAAAAACACUAUCAAAACUUCUCACUUUAUUCGUGCAACCAAACAAUGCAUUAGCCCUACUUAGGGGCUAGGGGUGAUUGGCAGAAUUGCAAUAAUCUUUGUAUCCAAACGACACAUUAGUUAAUGCUAAUCUAUUAUGAAAUCGCCAUGGAAUCACACAAACUCCACACCUACUGCUGUCGGACUUACUUCCACAAGAGUAGCUGAUUGUAGCAGAAUAUAUGUAAGCCACGAACCCGAACUACACCUUUGUAUGAGUUAAGGGUGAUUCAUCACCGAUGCAAGUGUGCAAAGUAUGCCUCAAGUGCCUGUGUGCCAUGUACAUGCACAUGCACAUGGAUUACAUGCGAAAGGAAAAUUUAAAAAUAUUGGGAUGAAUCUCAAAUAAUCAUUUCAUGCUCAAUUCUCUAUUCUCCAACC
rnacentral:lncRNA from 1 species